rnacentral:rRNA from 1 species
AUUGAACGCUGGCGGCAGGCCUAACACAUGCAAGUCGAACGAGUGGCGGACGGGUGAGUAGUGUCGGGGAAACUGCCCGAUGGAGGGGGCUAACUACUGGAAACGUUAGCUAAUACCGCAUACCAUCGGAUGUGCCCAGAUGGGAUUAGCUAGUAGGGGGGUUAACGGCUCACCUAGGCGACGAUCCCUAGCUAGUCUGAGAGGAUGACGAGCCACACUGGAACGAGGACACGGUCCAAACUCCUACGGGAGGCAGAGGUGGGGAAUAUUGGACAAUGGGCGCAGGCCGGAGACAGACAUGCGGGGUGUAUGAAGAAGGCCUUCGGGUUGUAAAGUACUUUCAGCGAGGAGGCGUUACUCGCAGAAGAAGCACCGGCUAACUCCGUGCCAGCAGCCGCGGUAAUUC